GAAGCCCUUUCUUGACGAUGGCUCGAGUCAUUGUGGCUUCAUUUCGGAAAGCUAAAGCACCAACGCCCCGUGACCCAACACGCUUCCACGAACCGUCUUCACUGGAGUAUGAGCGGAAAGGCACCUUUCCGAUCCACUCCACUCAAAGUUUAAGGUAGUGAUUUUAGUAUAUCCUAAGUAUGUCAUAAUGUACAACUAGAGUCAGUUCUGGGGAUAGCGAGAUGAACUAUUUGCUUGAAGUCUCCAAUUUUUUAGAAGUUAAUAUACAUACGAAAUUACUAACCAAAUAUUUUGUUAUGCUUUUUAAUAAACGGUCUAAAACCCCUCAAAAUCUCAGUACCGACUAUACAAAUGUAACUAAUGGUGUUUUGCAGGUUUUUAGAUAGAGCUUCACUAAAAACAGGAACAACCGGCCAGUGGGAUCUUUGUACAACCACAGAAGUCGAAGAAACAAAACAAAUGCUAAAUAUGCUACCUACCAUGGGCAUAACUUUUGUCCCAAGCGCUAUGAUCGCUCAAAUUAACACUUUGUUUGUCAAACAAGGAACGACUCUAAACACAAUGAUUGUCGGAAACUUCAGCAUCCCACCAGCGAGUCUCUCCGCCUUUGGGACAGUCUCUUUCCUCGUCUCCAUUGUCAUAUAUGAUCGAGUCUUAGUCAAGAUAGCCCAAAAAUUAACCGGGAAUCCAAGGGGCAUUACUUUGCUUCAACGGAUGGGAAUUGGUCUUAUCUUCUACAUCAUCGUCAUGACCGUCGCAUCUUUCACCGAAAGGUAUUAAGAUUUUAAAUAAAAUAAUUACUUUGCAUAAAUCUUUCAUAAGUAGGGCUUAUAUCAACUGAAUUCACACGGCCUGACCCGAGUUUUAGAAAAUCAUAGACACUUCUAUGUUAAUUUUAAAUCAAAAAAUCUGGACAGUUUGAAGUCAUGCAACCUAUAAUACGUCUUUAAAAUCUAGAAGUGAAGUUAGAUUUAUAUUUUCUUGUAUUGAUAGUGAACUUCACAGUUUCGUACUUGGCAUAUUUGUUACAGGUAUAGACUCAAAGUCGCUGCUGAUCAUGGACUCAUUCACCAAACGGGAGUAAAACUACAACGGGAAGCCCUUUCUUGACGAUGGCUCGAGUCAUUGUGGCUUCAUUUCGGAAAGCUAAAGCACCAACGCCCCGUGACCCAACACGCUUCCACGAACCGUCUUCACUGGAGUAUGAGCGGAAAGGCACCUUUCCGAUCCACUCCACUCAAAGUUUAAGGUAGUGAUUUUAGUAUAUCCUAAGUAUGUCAUAAUGUACAACUAGAGUCAGUUCUGGGGAUAGCGAGAUGAACUAUUUGCUUGAAGUCUCCAAUUUUUUAGAAGUUAAUAUACAUACGAAAUUACUAACCAAAUAUUUUGUUAUGCUUUUUAAUAAACGGUCUAAAACCCCUCAAAAUCUCAGUACCGACUAUACAAAUGUAACUAAUGGUGUUUUGC
rnacentral:lncRNA from 1 species